UACGGAGGGUGCAAACGUUGCUCGGAAUUAUUGGGCGUAAAGCGCACGUAGGCGGUCCACCAAGUCGGAUGUGAAAGCCCUCGGCUUAACCGAGGAAGUGCACUCGAAACUGGCGGUCUUGAGUACGGGAGAGGGUCGCGGAAUUCCCGGUGGAGCGGUGAAAUGCGUUGAUAUCGGAAGGAACGCCGGUGGCGAAAGCGACACACUGGAUCUCUUCUGACGCUGAGGCGCGAAAGCCAGGGGAGCAAACGGG
rnacentral:rRNA from 1 species